rnacentral:rRNA from 1 species
GAUGAACGCUGGCGGCGUGCCUAAUACAUGCAAGUCGAGCGAACGGACGAGAAGCUUGCUUCUCUGAUGUUAGCGGCGGACGGGUGAGUAACACGUGGAUAACCUACCUAUAAGACUGGGAUAACUUCGGGAAACCGGAGCUAAUACCGGAUGAUAUUUUGAACCGCAUGGUUCAAAAGUGAAAGACGGUCUUGCUGUCACUUAUAGAUGGAUCCGCGCUGCAUUAGCUAGUUGGUAAGGUAACGGCUUACCAAGGCAACGAUGCAUAGCCGACCUGAGAGGGUGAUCGGCCACACUGGAACUGAGACACGGUCCAGACUCCUACGGGAGGCAGCAGUAGGGAAUCUUCCGCAAUGGGCGCAAGCCUGACGGAGCAACGCCGCGUGAGUGAUGAAGGUCUUCGGAUCGUAAAACUCUGUUAUUAGGGAAGAACAUAUGUGUAAGUAACUGUGCACAUCCUGACGGUACCUAAUCAGAAAGCCACGGCUAACUACGUG